rnacentral:rRNA from 1 species
GACGAACGCUGGCGGCGUGCCUAAUGCAUGCAAGUCGCACGCAGAGUGCUUGCACUCUGAGUGGCGCACGGCUGAGGAACACGUGGGAAUGUGCCCGCUUGUGGGGGAUAACCCACCGAAAGGUGAGCUAAUCCCGCAUACGCUCGGAAACGAGGAAAGUCGCAAGACGCAGGCGGAGCAGCCCGCGGCCCAUCAGGUCGUUGGCGGGGUAACGGCCCACCAAGCCACUGAUGGGUAGCUGGUCUGUGAGGACAACCAGCCAGACUGGGACUGAGACACGGCCCAGACUCCUACGGGAGGCAGCAGCAAGGAAUUUUCGUCAAUGGGGGCAACCCUGAACGAGCAACGCCGCGUGGAGGAUGACGGCCUUCGGGUUGUAAACUCCUUUUGGGGGGGAAGAUGGUGACGGUACCCUCCGAAUCAGGCUCGGCUAACUCUGUGCCAGCAGCCGCAGUAACAC